rnacentral:misc_RNA from 1 species
GAUGAAGAACGUAGUGAAAUGCGAUACUUGGUGUGAAUUGCAGAAUCCCGUGAACCAUCGAGUCUUUGAACGCAAGUUGCGCCCGAAGCCAUUAGGCCGAGGGCACGCCUGCCUGGGCGUCACACGUCGUUGCCCCCCCAUCUACUCCUUCGGGAUUGCGGGGGGCGGAUGAUGGCCUCUCGUGCGCCUCGUCGCGCGGUUGGCCUAAAUGCCAAGUCCUCGGCGACGCACGCCACGACAAUCGGUGGUUGCGAAACCUCGGUUGCCUGUCGUGUGCGGUCGUCGCGCAUCGAGGGCUCGAAAAAAUUGCCGGGCUUCGGCUCGACUUUCAAUGCGACCCCAGGUCAGGCGGGGUUACCCGCUGAAUUUAAGCAUAUCAAUAAGCGGAGGA